AAAUACUUGAGGGGAAAACAUCCUAGAACAUAAACUGCCUUGCAGGUGGGAGUGGGGUGUAGUUGGCACAUGGCAGUUGACAGUUGGCACUGUCAAAAAGACAGUCAAAAUGAAUAGAAGAAAUGAAGAUGCAGAUGAGGUAGUGUCUGUCCUGAAUCAGUGCCGGGGUGCAGUAAUGGACUGGAUGUGAGUGAACAAGCUGAGACUCAGUCAAGACAGGACAUAAAUAUUGUCGGUUGGUGGUUCCUCUGCCCAGUGCCCAGGAAACUCAGGGCCUGCCAGCUUCCAGGCUUCCUAAGCAAGAUUCCCCUCCAUCCAGGGAUGACUUCAAGGGGUAGUGAUUGCUCCCCGCAAAAUAUUUCCUGCUCCUCCUUUCACUCCUCCAUCCAUCAGGCAGGAACUUUACAGCAAAGUGGCAGACAGUACAGGUAUGUCUGAGGCUCUGCAAAGAGCAGCCGAGAGAGAGAGAGAGAGAGAGAGAGAGAGAGAGAGAGAGAGAUGUGAAGGACACAUUAAAAUAAAAUGAUUCAAGGAAAUGUGCCUCUUCUAAAGUAAAUGUUAAGAUACGACGACAAGAAUUGAAAACCCCUCAGGAGCCUUCUAUCAAGAUAGCAAAUUCAUUUGGGACCAACCUUUUGGGAAUAUUUGUAAUAGACUUUAUGGAGUCUAUUACAAAAUGGAACUACCAAAAUGGAACUAGGGUGACAGAGGAGAAGAAAUUGUGAUAAAUCCUCAAUUAUCAAUAAGUACAGUAGUGUCUAAGUCUGUUAACUAACAUAAUCUCUAGCAACUAUAAUAAUUAACACAUCUUAUAU